UUAGCUAACGGAUUGACUGGUGGAGAAAGCGAAGCAGAUCAAAUAUGCAGAUCAAUUCUCUCAAAACAGACCAAAGUCGUUGGGAAAUAACGAGCUUUAGUUACAGACAGUACGUGAUAUCAAAGACGAGUCAAUUUUGAUGUCCAAUAAUAACUAAAUGUAAUGACUGUAAACUAGCUGAGGCAGUUUGUAGCCUAAGCUAGCGUUAAUAUGUUAACGUUAGCUAGCUACAACUUGAAUGGGGAAAGGCAUGUGUGUUUUUUGUCCUAUAUAGCUAGCUAGUGCUGACAAAUAAGUAACGUUAAAUGCUGUCAUUGGUGAUAUAUUGAAACAUAUGGGUUUGCUUUACUUUUUUAAAAACACCUCUUAAAUUAAAAAAGGUAAAGGAGUUACAUUUUUUGACAAGCUGUCAGCUGAGACGGAGACCACCACUAAACUCCAGUCCAUGUUUUUCGAGCAACACCUGCUAACCGAGAAAUUCAAUUAAGGACUCCUCUUCCCACUUGGAGCCGGUCUCCAGGGCAGAUCUUCCGGGCGACUCGCUGUAUAAGAAAUUAAAAAAGGCUACAAUAAAAACCGAAAAUCUGAAAAAUGUGGUAACUUUAUUAAUGAAAGCUCUUACGCUAUCCACCGUAAACACACACGUCCCUUUAGUUGGAAGUCACCGAUAGACAGCGAAGUACUUCAGAUCAUUCAUGGAAAGCCAUCUUCUAUAUUAAAAAUGCCACUGCUAGUACAACACAAGUGCAACUCUGGAAUGUGACGCCAUGUGUCUGCUGUCCAAAGGUCCAUCUCUAGGUGGACACCGGCCAGCCUUCACUGUCAGACUGGAGUGCCACUGAAGACCUCUGUGAUUCCCCCACACGUCCGUGCCAGGACUGUUCCUCUCCCUUUGGAUCUGUUAGUUUGAAAUCAUUUGGGUGAUGACUCUUUGAAAGUGGUGGUCAUUCUGGGAUGCCAUGUUCAAAAUGCAACAAAGACAUCUCUUUUAUGCACAAAUGCUAAUUAAAAUUUUUACCCCCAUCCCCAAGCUGCAGAGGGAGAGACUUGGUAGCAAUUUGGCAGAUAAUCAAAUUGCAUUUUAAAUGGAGCUGUUUAAAGAUGACUGGGGUCUGCUCACAGGAAGACACAGUGGCACAAAUUAAGCUUGAAUAAGCUGCUAUGUGUAUAGAGAAACAAUACAACACAAUUCACAUCACAAUAGGAAGAUGCAUUUAUGUAAAUGGCCAACAUGCAAUGUUUGCUAUACACAUACACAGUGAAAUUUGUUUUCUCGAAAUGAAUGCAUGCAGGAAUUCUGUUUUUUUUAUAUUACAUACUAACAAAUUAUUGUAGCUAGCGACCAAACAGAAACUCUCAUCCAAAGUAAAUGUCAUCAGUGCAAAACUUGAGAUUCUUAUAUAUUUCAUGAAGAACUUUGCCAUUCUCACAAAAAUUGGAGGGUCUAGAUCCCCUUCCGAGGCCAUGCCCAAAAUGGUGUACUGAUUGGUGGAAAUGGGCGUGGCCUAUUACGCCCCAAAAAAUGCUUUGGAGCUUUUAGAAUGGAUCUAUAAAAUGAAUGUAAAAGGGAAGCUUUGAUUUUUUCGUAUUACUACAGACCUCGCCGCUUAUGCCUAGCAACAUUUUCUUUACUUUUGCCUUGCGCUUGUCGCGCUUUGGGAUCAAUUGUCACAUACUUCAAGCGUUUUCAGGGGCGACUUGUGCCGGGGAGGCUUGGACCCCAUCAUAACUGUAUGCACUUCUAGUCUUUUAAUUAUGAGUAAGCAUUUUUUUCAAUAUGUGUCUUUAUAAUUUGACCAGUUGAGGCAAAAUGCUAAUAAGACAUGAACUGUUGUGGUUCCUUGGAACCGUUUUGUUCUUAAUUUUAGAUUUUCAGCCUGACGGAAAUGGCAAACUGUGGGGAUAAUGUUGUCAACAGCUAUGUUUGUCUACAAAAUUCUGUGCUUAGAAGCUGUCCCCCCACAUUUGGCAUACAUCAUUAAGUUCUUCGUGGCCCAUCAAAUUGUUUAUUCACACAGCAUUCCAGUACAUAUUAGUGACAUCUCGUUAGCAAAAAACAGAAAACUGACACAAUAACUUUGGGAAACAGGCCUGAAUUGUUUAUUCCUAAGAAUAAGUAGAAAGUUUGAAAUGAUAGAAUUGGAUCAUGAUGCAGCUCCCAAGGCCUCUUUUAUGCUUUCUCUUUGUGCCCCUGAAAAACUGAAAGCACUAAAUGAUCUGUUUAGUUUUCAACACCAUUUUUAUUCGGGCCACAUUUCCUGGGAAGUUCAACAUUCAUCACAAGAACAAUACAGCCAUCAGAACGGCUUCAUAUCCAUAAAACUCCAUUAUGGACAGCACAACAAGUGAUGCUUGACUUGUAAAUUUAAAUGGUUCUUAAUUGGCUGGGAUUUGCUGGCUGUACAGCAGUGACUGAAAGUGGCAUAAGGAUCCUCCUCGGAUGAUACCUUACUUUUCUGUCAACUUAAUGCACCUUGACUCUGCAUGUGUCUGUUCUCUGUGUGGCCAUCAUCCCAGCAUCAUAGACAGACAUAACAAUAGUUUGGACCUGCACACUACAGGUUACACUUAAGUAGAUGUCAUUUGACCUCCUCCACC